GGUUAAGCGACUAAGCGUACACGGUGGAUGCCCUGGCAGUCAGAGGCGAUGAAGGGCGUGCUAAUCUGCGAUAAGCGCCGGUAAGGUGAUAUGAACCGUUAUAACCGGCGAUACCCGAAUGGGGAAACCCAGUGUGAUUCGUCACACUAUCAUUAACUGAAUCCAUAGGUUAAUGAGGCGAACCGGGGGAACUGAAACAUCUAA
rnacentral:rRNA from 1 species